rnacentral:lncRNA from 1 species
AAUUAACAGAGUUUUGACCAUAUGCUAAAACAUAAAGAUUCACGGUGUUACAGCUAAUGUUCAUGGCACCCAUGUUGAGGUGUGAGGGGAACUCCUCAAUGAUACAAGUGAAAUGACAUUGUGCGAUGAAAUAUGAAGUAUGAAAGUAAAUAAAACUAUAAACCUCAAAUGGAAAACAAAAGUGAUUAAUAUGAUAUAUGU